rnacentral:lncRNA from 1 species
AAAAAAAAAAAAAACUUUAGCUCAGCUAAAUUUAGAAAUAUUUUUCUUUGGUAAUAUAUCUCCUGAAGUAUUUUGAAUCAGUAAUAUUGAAAAAUUGAAAGUCAAAUCUCCUAUUUGAAAAUCUACAUUACUCUAUCUCAUGUAUUAGGCCUCAUUUCUAACAGACCACUUCAGGGCAAAAAUUUUUCCUUAGCAAAGAGAUGUCANNNNNNNNNNNNNNNNNNNNNNNNNNNNNNNNNNNNNNNNNNNNNUGUGGUUGUUGUUUAGCAACCAAAAAAAAAAAAAUCUAUUGUCUAGGCACUUAACCAGAAUCUAUAAACAGUUUAAUGAAAAAAAAAGACUUCAUUAAAAAUGAAAAUUUUACAUUUGUCCUAACACUCAGUCAAGCUUAUGAUUUACUUUGAUUCAAAAAUCUGUAUUAGGGUUUUAACAGAAGAAGUUUAUUAACGCCUCCUGAAGAUCAUGGAAUUUGUGAAGAACACAAUAACUAUUUAGAAAACUCUAAUAAAAAAGUUUCCAGCCCUGGCUCAAUUAUAUUCUUGUUAUGACAGAGGACAAUUUUCUCCCCAUUUCUGAAUAAAAUUAGGGUAAAAAUAUCUAUUGUUUAUGUCACAUUGUUAUUGUGAUUUGAAUAAAUUAACAUAUACAAAUGACUCAGGGUAACUCCUGAGAAAUUUGGAGUGCAAGAAAAUGUAUCAUUUCCCAGUAGGAGUAUCACCAUUUAAACAACUGCUCAGGUUGUCUCUCCUACACAUUGUAUUAGUUUUCAAGUCCUAUCAUUUCUACUUCUUAAAUAUCUCUCAAUUACUUUUUUAAUCUUCUCUUGCACUUCCCAAAUAAAGCCUCUCAUUUCCUUAACUUUGACCAAAAUAACACCAAGUAAUUCAAUCUUACAGAUUUGAUUACUGCCAACCCAUUAUUUAUGCUGAAUUCUGUUUCUAGAGAAUAAACGUAAUCAUAAUAUCAUUUUCCUUGAAACUCCUCAUGACUUCCUGAUGCCCAUAAAACAGAAUUUAAUCACCCUAGAGUGAUAUAGAAGAGCCUUAUCAUCAGGUAGUUCAACAUCAUUUUCUAUUUUUAUCGUAUAUGCCAUGUAAUAGACACACUAUACCAUCCUUUUCCUAGGACUUCUGUCUUUGC